UGGGGAAUAUUGCACAAUGGGGGAAACCCUGAUGCAGCGACGCCGCGUGAACGAAGAAGGUGUUCGUAUCGUAAAGUUCUGUCCUAUGGGAAGAUAAUGACAGUACCAUAGAAGAAAGCUCCGGCUAAAUACGUGCCAGCAGCCGCGGUAAUACGUAUGGAGCGAGCGUUGUCCGGAAUUAUUGGGCGUAAAGGGUACGCAGGCGGUUUAAUAAGUCGAAUGUUAAAGAUCGGGGCUCAACCCCGCAAAGCAUUGGAAACUGAUAAACUUGAGUAGUGGAGAGGAAAGUGGAAUUCCUAGUGUAGUGGUGAAAUACGUAGAUAUUAGGAGGAAUACCAGUAGCGAAGGCGACUUUCUGGACACAAACUGACGCUGAGGUACGAAAGCGUGGGGAGCAAACAGG
rnacentral:rRNA from 1 species